GUCCACGCCGUAACGAUGAUAACUAGCUGUCCGGCACUUGGUGCCUGGGUGGCGCAGCUAACGCAUUAAGUUAUCCGCCUGGGAGUACGGUCGCAAGAUUAAACUCAAAGGAAUUGACGGGCCUGCACAAGCGGUGGAGCAUGUGGUUAAUUCGAAGCAACGCGCAGAACCUUACCAGCCUUUGACAUCCCGCGCUACCUGGAGAGAUUCAGGGUUCCCUUAGGGACGCGGUGACAGGUGCUGCAUGGCUGUCGU
rnacentral:rRNA from 1 species